rnacentral:rRNA from 1 species
AUUGAACGCUGGCGGCAGGCUUAACACAUGCAAGUCGAACGAGUGGCGGACGGGUGAGUAAUGCUUGGGAAUCUAGCUUAUGGAGGGGGAUAACUAGGGGAAACUGUAGCUAAUACCGCGUACCAUAGGAUGAGCCCAAGUGGUAUUAGGUAGUUGGUGAGGUAAAGGCUCACCAAGCCGACGAUCUCUAGCUGGUCUGAGAGGAUGACCAGCCACACGGGGACUGAGACACGGCCCAGACUCCUACGGGAGGCAGCAGUGGGGAAUUUUGGACAAUGGGCGAAAGCCUGAUCCAGCCAGGCCGCGUGACUGAAGAAGGCCUUCGGGUUGUAAAGGACUGUUGUCAGGGAAGCGGUACCUGAAGAAUAAGCACCGGCUAACUACGUGCCAGCAGCCGCGGUAAUAC